UGUCCGGUGGUGUAAUUGGCAACACAUCUGAUUUUGGUUCAGAAGAGUCCAGGUUCGAAACCUGGCCGGACAA
rnacentral:tRNA from 1 species